rnacentral:misc_RNA from 1 species
GGAAAAUCGAAAAGAGAGAAAAUUAAGGCGGCCGAGGCAAAUGGCCUUGAUUCCAACCAACCCAGACUUUGGCGGCAAUGGAGGAAGAUACCUUCGCAUUCCCUAUCAUGUAAACUUCAUUUUGGUAUUGGUGGCAAUGAUUAAGGUGAUUGGAAAAAGAAGAUAGGUAAUGGGGGUGCCGUCGACUUUGGAGGCUCGAUUUCCGCGCUAUUUUAGAGAGAGUUUGGGCGCAUACCUUCGGACU